GAUGAACGCUGGCGGCGUGCCUAAUACAUGCAAGUCGAGCGAACAGAUGAGGAGCUUGCUCCUCUGACGUUAGCGGCGGACGGGUGAGUAACACGUGGAUAACCUACCUAUAAGACUGGGAUAACUUCGGGAAACCGGAGCUAAUAUCGGAUAAUAUAUUGAACCACAUGGUUCAAUAGUGAAAGACGGUUUUGCUGUCACUUAUAGAUGGAUCCGCGCCGCAUUAGCUAGUUGGUAAGGUAACGGCUUACCAAGGCAACGAUGCGUAGCCGACCUGAGAGGGUGAUCGGCCACACUGGAACUGAGACACGGUCCAGACUCCUACGGGAGGCAGCAGUAGGGAAUCUUCCGCAAUGGGCGAAAGCCUGACGGAGCAACGCCGCGUGAGUGAUGAAGGUCUUCGGAUCGUAAAACUCUGUUAUUAGGGAAGAACAAAUGUGUAAGUAACUAUGCACGUCUUGACGGUACCUAAUCAGAAAGCCACGGCUAACUACGUG
rnacentral:rRNA from 1 species